CGCCCGCCCGGCGUCUGCCCGCCCGCCCCGUCCGCCCGCCGGCCCGCCCGGCCUGCCCAGCCGCGGGAGCUGCCAGCCAGCUCCUCGCCCUCCCGCUGCCCACAGGCCCUGCCAGGCUGGGCGCAAGAAAGCGUGUUUACUAACACCAUCCGCACGGCUCCCUGGGCACCGCGGCUCUGCCCAGAAGAUGUCAGGCCCCGGGCACCGGGAGGCGGGCCUGGAGCCAGGCUGUCUGCAGCCGGAGGGGCGGGGGGGCGGCCCUGGCCGGCUGCUGCCCUGGGCUCCUGGGCUCCUGGGCUCCUGGGCUCCUGGGCUCCUGCGCUCCUGGGCUCCUGGGCUCCUGGGCUCCCGGCCUCUCGGAGGCCCCAGGGAGGCCCNNNNNNNNNNNNNNNNNNNNNNNNNNNNNNNNNNNNNNNNNNNNNNNNNNNNNNNNNNNNNNNNNNNNNNNNNNNNNNNNNNNNNNNNNNNNNGGGGGGGGGGGGGGGAGACCUCCUGGCGGGGUGGUCGCCUUGUGCAGACCGAGAAGCUCCCCAUCGCUCCUGGGAUAUCAUCCAAACUUGACAUGGUUGGCAAGGCUGUUCAUAAUCUGCCUCCUGUCUGCCUCUCCCGCCUCAUGCCUCCACCAUGCCAGGCCGCAGCCUGGGCCGCAGCCAAACUGAAUUCCACCUGGUGUCUUUGCUUGGCCUCUAGCUUCAUAUCACCGUUUCCUGUACCUGGAAGCCUCUUUCCCACCCGGGGAAGAGGACUUGGUCCCCCCACCCCCACCCCUCCAGUGCCUUUCACAGAAGGGCAUCAUGGCCUUGUGUUCACAGAGGUGGGGCUUUCCCGGGCUGUGGAGAGGAGAGAGAGUCAGGGAAGUUGUCUUCCAAGAGACAACAACUCCCUGGGUCUUGUUCUGUUUCUUGCUAGAAGAACUGACUGGCUGGCGGAUGGUUGUGGAGGAGACUUCUACGCUGAAAUGCAUGGGAGGCCAGAUCUCCUUCCGGACGGGCUCAGACUACUGCCCCCUUACAAGUGCCCACGACCACUUCUGAGCCCCACAGCUGGACAAACCCAGGGUCAGAACGGGCAGUGUGUCUGGCUCUCGACGCUGGUGACUUUGAUAAAAGACAACUGUGGAUGUUUGGAAACACCAGGAAAUACCAAGACAAUUUGAAAGAGGUCCCAAACAUCGACUUAAGGAGGAACGCUUCGUAACCACUUGGGGCCAAUGGAGCCAGAAGACAAGAGUCAUGGGCAUUUUGUCAUUUUCUGAUUGGAGAUUUGAGAAGGCUUCCACAGGAGAAAUCACACUCCCCGGGGAAGAUAGGAGUCCAAGUCUCCUGGUCUUCGGCGGGGGACCUCAGACAAGCCUUGACCUCUCCGAGUGAGCCUCAGUCUCCUUCUCUGUGUAAAGUCUGCAUAGUCCUUAAAAGCCCUUCCGUGUCUCACAUUGUUAGAACCUCUUUUUUGGAACUCAACAUUCACCCCCAUUGUGGCUGAAACGCCAGAGACAUGACUGUAAGAUUUUCAGUAGAAAAAAGGAUUAAAUUAAAACAAAUAAUUUGCACUUGGAUACACAACCCCAAAUGAUCAACAGGAUCACACAGCUUGACAGCAACCCAUCAUUUUAGACAAAGAUGUGUGAAAUCAAGAGACGUUGAAAAUCAUUUCAAAAUCCUGUAAUUGUUCGGGGUUCAGCUCACCCAAUGCUGUGUGUGUACAUUUUAAAGCACUGUUGUUUUUUUUUCAAAAUAUAUUUUAGUUGUUAUUAUUCAAACCGAGCUGGCAUCAUGUGUAGAAUUGGAAGUUAUUGUAGUCAAUGUAUAAACUGAAAGAAAUCAGCCCAGGGGAUGCCGCUUUCACGCUUAUUUAUGGGAAAAUGCUGUUUAACUAACCUUGAAGUAAAAAAUCUUUUGAAAAAAAAAAUCGGGGAUCCCUGGGUGGCGCAGCGGUUUGGCGCCUGCCUUUGGCCCAGGGCGCGGUCCUGGAGACCCGGGAUCGAGUCCCACGUCGGGCUCCUGGUGCAUGGAGCCUGCUUCUCCCUCCGCCUGUGUCUCUGCCUCUCUCUCUCUCUCUGUGACUAUCAUAAAUUAAAAAAAAUAAAAAAUAAAAAAUAAAAAAAAAAGAAAAAAAA
ensembl:lncRNA